GACGAACGCUGGCGGCGUGCCUAAUACAUGCAAGUCGAACGGUGAAGCGAGGAGCUCGUGCUCUUUCGGUGAGCUGGUAGCGGGUGGGUAACGCGUAGGUAACCUGCUUUGUAGCGGGGGAGGAUUACGGAAAACGACAGAUACUACUGCAUCAUACUGGCUGCCACAGGUCGUAUAGGUUAUUGGGGCCAUUGCCGCACGAAAGGACGGAUGUCCGUUGUAUUAGUUAGUAGGUGAGGGAAUGGCUCACCUAAGCGACGCUACAUAGUCGGCUUGAGAAGGUGAUCCGCCACACUGGGACUGAGACACGGCCCAGUAUCCCUCGGGGAGCAGCAGUAGGGAAUCUUCGGCAAUGGGGGCAACCCUGACCGAGCAACGCCGCGGGAGUGAAGAAGGUUUUCGGAUCGGAAAGCUCUGUUGUAAGGCAAGAACGGGCGUGAGAGUGGAAAGUUCACACUGUGACGGUAGCGUACCAGAAAGCGACGGCUAACUACGUG
rnacentral:rRNA from 1 species